GCAGUCGUGGCCUAAUGGUUAGCGUCUCGGACUUGUAACCCGAAGGUGAACCUGAAGGUCAUGGGUUCGAGUCUCAGGUCCGGCA